UCUAAAGAGAUCGCUUAUUGCAUGUGUCAUGAGGCUGUUCAUAGACAAGCAUUGCACAUAUUCAUUACAAGAAUGCAGCAUAAGUACUUAUAUUGUAGCAAAACAGUGAAAAUGCUCUAAAGAUGCACACAAUAGCACUGACAGAAUCACAUAUUGCAUGUUCUCUUGCAGCAGCCACAUCACAGCAGAAGAGGCUAACGAGAGAUCACCGCCUCGGCCAAGACAUGCAGCGGAACCGGAACGUACCCCUGAUACGGCUGAGGAGACUCGUGUCGACACCUGCAGCAAUGAGUAUCUUACAGGCCCUUGGUUAGGGCAUUGAGUAAGGGGGGCUAACAAAGACAUGUACAACAAGUAAAAG